rnacentral:rRNA from 1 species
AUGGAUAACUUGCCACUGACCACCAUGGCCGGGGCCGCGGCGUCGUCGUUGGAAGGAGGCGGGAGGGUGGUGGACACGUACAAGAAGGCGCUGACCACGGCGGCGUCCGUGGCCGCGUACGCCAUGCUGGUGCGCAGCAUGGCCAGGGAGCUCCUCCCCGAGGAGCUGCGCGCCGCGGUGCGCUGGGGUGCCGCGUUCGUGCGCGCCCGCCUCGGCGCCGGCGACAAGGAGCGGCACACCAUCGUCAUCCGCCGCCACUUGGACGCCGGGUACAACGAGAACCACCUCUUCGAGGCGGCGCGCGCCUACCUGGCCACCAAGAUCGACCCGAACGCCAUGCGCCGGCUCUGCCUCGCGCGCACCCGGUACAAGGAGCCCGACGGGAGCAGCAGCUGGAGCACACUCCUGUGCAUGGACGAUGGGGGCUCCACCACCGACACCUUCGACGGCGUCGAGUUCAAAUGGACGUCCAUCGAGACCGGCGGCGACGAAGGCAAGAAGGGAAAGGGCCAUCGCGCCCCACCACGCGAGACCCUCGAGCUCAGCUUUGACGCCGAGCACACGGAGGCGGCGCUUGAGCGGUACGUGCCGUUCAUCAUGUCCACGGCGGAGCAGCUGCAGCGGCGGGAUCGCGCGCUCAAGAUCUUCAUGAACGAGGGUCGGUCGUGGCACGGCAUCAACCACCACCACCCGGCCACGUUCGACACUCUCGCCAUGGAUCCGGCACUCAAGCAGGCCGUCACCGACGACCUCGACCGUUUCUUGAAGCGGAAGGAGUACUACCGGCGGAUCGGCAAGGCUUGGAAGCGCGGGUAUCUGCUCUUCGGCCCACAAGUCCAGCCUGGUCGCUGCCAUGGCCAACUACCUCCGGUUCAACCUCUACGACCUCGAUCUCUCCGAGGUGCGCCUCAACUCGGCGCUUCAGAGGCUGCUUAUCGCCAUGCCCAACAAAUCCAUCCUCGUCAUCGAGGACAUCGACUGCUGCUUCGACGCCAAGUCGAGGGAGGACCGCACGAUGCCGGUGCAGGCCGACGACGGCAGUUCAUCAGACGACGACGUCCCGGAGGACAAAGCCCACCACCCGGGACCGCGCCAACAGCAGACCAUAACGCUGUCCGGGCUGCUCAACUUCAUCGACGGGCUGUGGUCGACGAGCGGCGAGGAGCGCAUCAUCAUCUUCACCACCAACUACAAGGACCGCCUCGACCCGGCGCUGCUGCGGCCGGGGCGCAUGGACAUGCACAUCUACAUGGGCCACUGCUGCUGGGAGGCGUUCAAGACGUUGGCCAGGAAUUAUCACCUCGUGGACGACCAUGCUCUGUUCCCACAGAUACAGGAACUGCUUGCGGCGGUGGAGGUGACGCCGGCCGAGGUGUCUGA